GCCAUCGCGGCCCACCAGGCAUUUGACCGGUUUGCCUGAUGGACAGUCUGGGCCUGCCCAGACCACUUCAGCUCAUUGAAGUGGUCUGGGUGUACUGUCCCAGGUCCUUUAACCCUACAAAAAAAUAGUCUGACCUAAUUUUUAAGAAACUGCAGUAAUUACCUUUAAGGGUUAAUGCCACCUCUUAAGGUGCUCACUUUUGUUUCUGGCGGUUUAGACAUUAAUGGCUGUGUGUUGAGUUAU